GACGAACGCUGGCGGCGUGCCUAAUACAUGCAAGUUGAGCGCUGAAGGUUGGUACUUGUACCAACUGGAUGAGCAGCGAACGGGUGAGUAACGCGUGGGGAAUCUGCCUUUGAGCGGGGGACAGCAUGUGGAAACGAAUGCUAAUACCGCAUAAAAACUUUAAACACAAGUUUUAAGUUUGAAAGAUGCAAUUGCAUCACUCAAAGAUGAUCCCGCGUUGUAUUAGCUAGUUGGUGAGGUAAAGGCUCUCCAAGGCGAUGAUACAUAGCCGACCUGAGAGGGUGAUCGGCGACAUUGGGAAUGAGACACGGCCCAUACGCCUACGGGAGGCAGCAGUAGGGAAUCUUCGGCAAUGGACGAAAGUCUGACCGAGCAACGCCGCGGGAGUGAAGAAGGGUUUCGGAUCGUAAAACUCUGUUGGUAGAGAAGAACGUUGGUGAGAGUGGAAAGCUCAUCAAGUGACGGUAACUACUCAGAAAGGGACGGCUAACUACGUG
rnacentral:rRNA from 1 species